CGAACGCUGGCGGCGUGCUUAACACAUGCAAGUCGAACGAGAAUCUACUGAAAGAGUUUUCGGACAAUGGAUGUAGAGGAAAGUGGCGGACGGGUGAGUAACGCGUGAGGAACCUGCCUUGAAGAGGGGGACAACAGUUGGAAACGACUGCUAAUACCGCAUGACGCAUAGAGGUCGCAUGAUCUUUAUGCCAAAGAUUUAUCGCUUCAAGAUGGCCUCGCGUCUGAUUAGCUGGUUGGCGGGGUAACGGCCCACCAAGGCGACGAUCAGUAGCCGGACUGAGAGGUUGAACGGCCACAUUGGGACUGAGAUACGGCCCAGACUCCUACGGGAGGCAGCAGUGGGGAAUAUUGGGCAAUGGGCGCAAGCCUGACCCAGCAACGCCGCGUGAAGGAAGAAGGCUUUCGGGUUGUAAACUUCUUUUAAGAGGGAAGAGUAGAAGACGGUACCUCUAGAAUAAGCCACGGCUAGCUACGUGCCAGCAGCCGCGGUAAUACGUAGGUGGCAAGCGUUGUCCGGAUUUACUGGGUGUAAAGGGCGUGCAGCCGGGUCUGCAAGUCAGAUGUGAAAUCCAUGGGCUCAACCCAUGAACUGCAUUUGAAACUGUGGAUCUUGAGUGUCGGAGGGGCAAUCGGAAUUCCUAGUGUAGCGGUGAAAUGCGUAGAUAUUAGGAGGAACACCAGUGGCGAAGGCGGAUUGCUGGACGAUAACUGACGGUGAGGCGCGAAAGUGUGGGGAGCAAACAGGAUUAGAUACCCUGGUAGUCCACACUGUAAACGAUGAUUACUAGGUGUUGGGGGAUUGACCCCCUCAGUGCCGCAGUUAACACAAUAAGUAAUCCACCUGGGGAGUACGACCGCAAGGUUGAAACUCAAAGGAAUUGACGGGGGCCCGCACAAGCAGUGGAGUAUGUGGUUUAAUUCGAAGCAACGCGAAGAACCUUACCAGGUCUUGACAUCCGAUGCAUAGCACAGAGAUGUGUGAAAUCCUUCGGGACAUCGAGACAGGUGGUGCAUGGUUGUCGUCAGCUCGUGUCGUGAGAUGUUGGGUUAAGUCCCGCAACGAGCGCAACCCUUAUUGCCAGUUACUACGUUAAGAGGACUCUGGCGAGACUGCCGUUGACAAAACGGAGGAAGGUGGGGAUGACGUCAAAUCAUCAUGCCCUUUAUGACCUGGGCUACACACGUACUACAAUGGCGUUAAACAAAGAGAAGCAAGACCGCGAGGUGGGGCAAAACUCAAAAACAACGUCUCAGUUCAGAUUGCAGGCUGCAACUCGCCUGCAUGAAGUCGGAAUUGCUAGUAAUCGCGGAUCAGCAUGCCGCGGUGAAUACGUUCCCGGGCCUUGUACACACCGCCCGUCACACCAUGAGAGCCGGGGGGACCCGAAGUCGAUAGUCUAACCGCAAGGAGGACGUCGCCGAAGGUAAAACUGGUGAUUGGGGUGAAG
rnacentral:rRNA from 1 species